CUCUGGGAACAAGAGAAAGAGUGAGAGUGAGAGAGCGAGUGAGAGUGAGAGAGAUCGAGACAGAGAGAAAAAGGCAAAAAGAGAGAGAGGGAGGGGUGCGUCACUUGAGUGGGUUGAGUCACUGAUGUGGUAUUCCUGUCUGUGUUGGCGCCUCCCCCCAUUGGGUUGUGCCAUGGCUGAGAUCUUUGUGGGCUAUACUCAGCCUUGUCUCAGGAUGGACCUGAGCCCUAGGACCAUGCCUCAGGACUACCUGGCAUGAGGACUCCUUGUUGUCCCCAGUCCACCUGGCCGUGCUGCUGCUCCAGUUUCAACUGUUCUGCCUCCGGCUAUGGAACCCUGACCUGUUCACUGUGAUUACUAUUUAUUGGUCAUUUAUUAACAUUUAAACAUCUUGGCCAUGUUCUGUUAUAAUCUCCACCCAGCACAGCCAGAAGAGGACUGGCCACCCCACAUAGCCUGGUUCCUCUCUAGGUUUCUUCCUAGGUGUUGGCCUUUCUUGGGAGUUUUUCCUAGCCACCGUGCUUCUACACUUGCAUUGCUUGCUGUUUGGGGUUUUAGGCUGGGUUUCUGUACAGCACUUUGAUAUAUCAGCUGAUGUAAGAAGGGCUAUAUGAAGACAUUUGAUUUGAUAUUGCAUUCAUUGUAAAUCAUAAAAAUGAGUGCUGUCUGUGAAACAGGAAACUGGGCAUUAAAGAUAUGGAUUAUGUUUUCCCUUGA